CUUUGCUUUGAAAACAGACCCAAAUACAGGAAUGAGAUACAUCGAAAACAUUUUAGAUGAAUAAACCAAAAACCAUAGAGGAAAUGAUAAGGAGACAACAAGUGGAGUCAUGCCAGAAGCUACAGGCUCAAUGUAUUGUCCAGUGGAAUCCUUUAUAAAGUAUACAGACAAGCUGCACCCUGAUUGUGAUAGAUUGUGGCAGCGUCCAAGGGACUGUUUUGUUGAUGACGACAACGAAAUAUGGUAUUACAACGCACCUGUUGGGGAGAAAAAGCUGAAAACAUU